rnacentral:rRNA from 1 species
AUUGAACGCUGGCGGCAUGCCUUACACAUGCAAGUCGAACGGCAGCACGGGAGCAAUCCUGGUGGCGAGUGGCGAACGGGUGAGUAAUAUAUCGGAACGUGCCCAGUCGUGGGGGAUAACGUAGCGAAAGCUACGCUAAUACCGCAUACGAUCUAUGGAUGAAAGCGGGGGAUCGCAAGACCUCGCGCGAUUGGAGCGGCCGAUAUCAGAUUAGGUAGUUGGUGGGGUAGAGGCUCACCAAGCCGACGAUCUGUAGCUGGUCUGAGAGGACGACCAGCCACACUGGGACUGAGACACGGCCCAGACUCCUACGGGAGGCAGCAGUGGGGAAUUUUGGACAAUGGGCGCAAGCCUGAUCCAGCAAUGCCGCGUGCAGGAUGAAGGCCUUCGGGUUGUAAACUGCUUUUGUACGGAACGAAACGGCGAGCUCUAAUACAGUUCGCUAAUGACGGUACCGUAAGAAUAAGCACCGGCUAACUACGUGCCAGCAGCCGCCGUAA